GGCCGCCUGGCGAAAUGGCAUCGCGUCUGACUACGACUUCAUUGGAGUAUCAGGAGAUUGCAGGUUCGACCCCUGCGGUGGUCA